UCUCAAACACAAAGAAAACUGAGCCUGAAGCCAAGGCUGGUCCAAACUUUGAAGAUGCUUCAGAUGCUGCCUUUGAUCCCGGAAAAUCUGAAAUUUAAUUUGGGGACACUCAGACAAAAAUGCGCUUGUGUACUUAAGUUGGCUUCUCAAAUGAAACUUGGCACAUGGCUUAGCUGGUAUGGUACUGCAAUCACGCUCACAAUAUGACUUCUAUUUUUCUGUUCAAACCCUUUUCUGUUUAGAAUAUAGAAAUUAAUUAAGGUAAUGUUGUUUGUGGAUUAAGGCUUGAAAGUUGGAUUAGGUGCGCGCGGCUUAGGAGUUUUGACUAGCUAACCAACAUGAUAAGCAAAAAAAGAUCAGUCUGUGUGGUUUGGAUAAAUUAAAACUCAACACUGAUUUGAAACGAAAACUGGAGUUGAAGGUAUCUAUCAUUUGUAGGGUCCAGAAACCCUCAAGUAGUCUUCUCUUUUUUAAUAAGAAAAAUAUUAGUAAUA